CCUCCUCUAUUUGCUGAGGACAAAUAAAAUGAACAUGAGAAUCAAUACCUCCAGCCGUGACAAUCUUACCUUCUGCUCCUAUAACUUCAGUACUUGGACCAAUAUACAUUGUAACGCCCGGCUGAAUAUUUGGGUUACCGGAUUUUCCAAUAGCUACAAUUCUACCAUCCUUAAUACCAAUGUCAGCUUUAACUAUUCCCCAAUAAUCAAUAAUUAAAGCAUUAGUUAAUACUAAAUCAAGACAAUCCGAAGAACACAUCUGUCCUUGACCCAUCCCAUCACG
rnacentral:sRNA from 1 species